AACGGUAACAGGUCUUCGGAUGCUGACGAGUGGCGAACGGGUGAGUAAUACAUCGGAACGUGCCCGAUCGUGGGGGAUAACGGAGCGAAAGCUUUGCUAAUACCGCAUACGAUCUACGGAUGAAAGCGGGGGAUCUUCGGACCUCGCGCGGACGGAGCGGCCGAUGGCAGAUUAGGUAGUUGGUGGGAUAAAAGCUUACCAAGCCGACGAUCUGUAGCUGGUCUGAGAGGAUGAUCAGCCACACUGGGACUGAGACACGGCCCAGACUCCUACGGGAGGCAGCAGUGGGGAAUUUUGGACAAUGGGCGCAAGCCUGAUCCAGCCAUGCCGCGUGCAGGAUGAAGGCCUUCGGGUUGUAAACUGCUUUUGUACGGAACGAAAAACGGUGCCUUCUAAUAAAGGGCAGCUCA
rnacentral:rRNA from 1 species